GCGACCGGCUCUACUUGGCAGGUUUUGAGGACAUCGAUGUGGAGACUUCGAUCCAGCAACCCAGAAACCCAAUGCUGAGUGUCAUGCUGGCAUUAGAUCAGAUGAGAAAGACUGAGAAGCGACUGUUGAUGAACUGCUUUCUGACCCACAUCGCCUGGUCCUGAGAAUCCGAGAAUUCGAGAAGGCGCACGCACCAAUGGAAAGAAAUGGAGAGAGGCAGAGCGAUCAUCUCUUGGCAUCGUCACAACCUGGAACGAAUCAACGGAACAACGGGCAAGGGACAUAGUUUCACAGAAACCGAGCGGCGGAUUGUUGCGACCGGCUCCACUUGGCAGGUUUUGAGGACAUCGAUGUGAAGACUUCGAUCAAGCAACCCAGCAACCCAUUGCUGAGUACGUGUCAUGCUGGCAUUAGAUCAGAAAGAAAUGGAGAGAGGCAGAGCGAUCAUCCCCUAGCAUCAUCGCAACCUGGAACGAAUCAACGGAACAACGGGCAAUGGACAUAGUUUCACAGCAACUGAGCGGCGGACAAGUGACAAGCAUCGAGGGAUCAACAUAAUUAUAUUGUUUGUGUUUUUGUGUGUGUUUUUUUUCAGGUUCCCACAAUAUGGAUCACCACGUUGCCGUCGUGUCGUACUUCUGUGAUUCUAAGGGCGAAGUCAGCAAUGUUAUAACUUUGCUGAACCAGCCAAUGCUUCAAAUAAUUGAUGCGUUGUCGUUGAUAUUGUUAGGUUUUGUGUAUUGUUUACAAGUUGUCUGCUCAGACAUAAAUACGUUGUGCUCGCUGGGGAUAGGAAAGUAGUGGUA